AACGAACGCUGGCGGCAGGCUUAACACAUGCAAGUCGAGCGCCCCGCAAGGGGAGCGGCAGACGGGUGAGUAACGCGUGGGAACGUGCCCUUUGGUUCGGAACAACUCCGGGAAACUGGAGCUAAUACCGGAUAAGCCCUUCGGGGGAAAGAUUUACCGCCAAAGGAUCGGCCCGCGUCUGAUUAGCUAGUUGGUGAGGUAAUGGCUCACCAAGGCGACGAUCAGUAGCUGGUCUGAGAGGAUGAUCAGCCACACUGGGACUGAGACACGGCCCAGACUCCUACGGGAGGCAGCAGUGGGGAAUAUUGGACAAUGGGCGCAAGCCUGAUCCAGCCAUGCCGCGUGAGUGAUGAAGGCCUUAGGGUUGUAAAGCUCUUUUGUCCGGGAAGAUAAUGACUGUACCGGAAGAACAAGCCCCGGCUAACUUCGUGCCAGCAGCCGCCGUAA
rnacentral:rRNA from 1 species